UCCUCACCUGCAAUGGCGAAGCAAACCCACCCCCCGAACGAAAGGUUUUUUUUUAACGGUGCACAAAGAACCAAGGCAAGUGCGAGCGCGCGUUCGUUUCUCGUUCGUUCACGUAUGAAUAAUAAUAACAAUUAAAAGAAAAAAAAAAAAAGGAAAACGAAUUGAAAAGUAAAGUAUGAUAUAAUCUUCCAGGAUGACGAUGAUGAUAUACUUUAACGAUGAACAUAUACUUUGAUAUAUUGAGAAACAUGAAUAUGUGAUCGAGUUUAUGAAGCAUUGGUGCUGAAUUUACAGAUAAAUUAGGAAAAGAGCGGUGCAUCCUGCAGUGGCAACCAAAAUAUAAACGUUAUUCAAAUGAAAAGGAAGAAGAUAACUGAAUAUAACGAGCUGCAAAUCAGGCUACAGGAUCCCGGUUAAUUCGACAAAUAAACAUGCCACUCGAAUUUCGUUGGUUUCAUUAACGAUAAGAAUGCACGACGAAAGAUGAAAGAAUGAAGGAUGAUUCAACGAGGCGUUCUAAACGUUGGAACGCGCGUUAACAAUACCAGAGAGUUUAAAGUAAGGUGGACGUUUGGACCCCGACGUAUUCCCUUACCUUCUCGUUCUGAACGCAAUGGAACACAAAGAUAAACAGCCCCUGCAGACUAUUCAAUAUGGUGAAGAUGUACGCCAUCACGACGGAUUCUUGGUUCAAGUAGAGAAGCCCGAAGGUCCAGGUGAGUCCCAGUAGAAAUACUAAGACGAUCGCUCCUCUCAGCCAUGCCCUAGUCAGAAAAUAUCGAUCGAUGAGUCACAUUGAAGCUAAAAAUCUCAAGAACAAGAUAAUCGCGAGCGAUGCUUAAAGGAACGUGAACGAGAGCUAUGUGAAUUUAUCGGUAUGAGGGAUUUAGAGAAAAAAAUAUAAGAAAAAAAAGGUAACGAAGAGAGUGGGGGAGGGGGGGUGAAAGGAAACGAUCUCUUUAGUCUCGUGCCAUUGAAAGAAUUAAGAGUAACGUGCUAAAUGAUCGAUGAUGGUGUGACUUUAAUUCUAAUAAUUCCAAUGCUACAUUUGUCACGUUCUUAUCGAAAUGGAGCGGCGAGAACACGGAAGAUUAUCAGGAGACGGUGUUAUGCACCGCAGUGCACGCAACAUUUCGAGCUGCGCGAUGCUAACGUGUACUACUAAUGUUGCUCGUUUCUACACGCGUGCGCGUGUCGUGUACACACUCUUCAACAAAAGCAUUAGCAUCGUUAAUGUUCUCGCGAGUCUCGAAAGCGGCUGGCGUCCUAUAAGCAUCGCACACAGUGUUACUAUUUCUUACUUCUUUCCUCCUUCUCCGUAUCGACGUUCUUACUAUUUUUUCGCUUUUUCUUUUCUUUUCUUUUCUUUUCUUUCCUAGUUCCUGAUCUACUAGAAACGAUCAAGACUGCGGAUCUACGGGAGGAUCGGGUACACGAACUACACAGGCUUACCUUGCGCUGGCCAAUCGAGAGUGCUCCUUACUCUUCAUCGCUACGGUCGUGUUUGCGUGCCGGCACAUCAUAUAAAUCGCCAUCGAUAGGAAUACCAAGUUUGCCUAACAAGAAAACCGGAUAACAGCUUC